CUAAUGUUGAAAAAUUAGCGGAUGACUUGUGGCUGGGGGUGAAAGGCCAAUCAAACCGGGAGAUAGCUGGUUCUCCCCGAAAGCUAUUUAGGUAGCGCCUCGUGAAUUCAUCUCCGGGGGUAGAGCACUGUUUCGGCAAGGGGGUCAUCCCGACUUACCAACCCGAUGCAAACUGCGAAUACCGGAGAAUGUUAUCACGGGAGACACACGGCGGGUGCUAACGUCCGUCGUGAAGAGGGAAACAACCCAGACCGCCAGCUAAGGUCCCAAAGUCAUGGUUAAGUGGGAAACGAUGUGGGAAGGCCCAGACAGCCAGGAUGUUGGCUUAGAAGCAGCCAUCAUUUAAAGAAAGCGUAAUAGCUCACUGGUCGAGUCGGCCUGCGCGGAAGAUGUAACGGGGCUAAACCAUGCACCGAAGCUGCGGCAGCGACGCUGAUGCGUUGUUGGGUAGGGGAGCGUUCUGUAAGCCUGCGAAGGUGUGCUGUGAGGCAUGCUGGAGGUAUCAGAAGUGCGAAUGCUGACAUAAGUAACGAUAAAGCGGGUGAAAAGCCCGCUCGCCGGAAGACCAAGGGUUCCUGUCCAACGUUAAUCGGGGCAGGGUGAGUCGACCCCUAAGGCGAGGCCGAAAGGCGUAGUCGAUGGGAAACAGGUUAAUAUUCCUGUACUUGGUGUUACUGCGAAGGGGGGACGGAGAAGGCUAUGUUGGCCGGGCGACGGUUGUCCCGGUUUAAGCGUGUAGGCUGGUUUUCCAGGCAAAUCCGGAAAAUCAAGGCUGAGGCGUGAUGACGAGGCACUACGGUGCUGAAGCAACAAAUGCCCUGCUUCCAGGAAAAGCCUCUAAGCAUCAGGUAACAUCAAAUCGUACCCCAAACCGACACAGGUGGUCAGGUAGAGAAUACCAAGGCGCUUGAGAGAACUCGGGUGAAGGAACUAGGCAAAAUGGUGCCGUAACUUCGGGAGAA
rnacentral:rRNA from 1 species